UAUUUUCUUUUUGGCAUUAUGUAUUGCUAACAUGUUUUUAAUUGUAUUCUCUACCCACACUCUGGUACUUCUACAAUGUCAUUUUUUUAAUUCAGCUCUACUGUGAGAAAUGGAGUGUAUAUAUAUAUAUAUAUAUAUAUGUGUGUAGAGUGUCAUUCAUUAUUGCUAAUAAAAGUUGCACGCCAGACUGGAUUGCUUCGUAUUGUAAGCAAAAUGUAAUAACCACUAACAAAUGCCACUGUGCUCUGCAUGGAGUUAAUAUUUGAUGUGUGGCUUCUCUAAUUGACUUGCAGCUGAAAUUUGUAAACCCUAGGGAGCCCUUCCACAUCAAGCAUUCCAAAUAUUCCCUGAGAUCACAGCACUAUCUGAAGCUACCUGUCCAGUUCAAGCCCAGUACUGCAGGCAGACACACGGGCUUGCUGCUCAUCCAGUCAGAAACAAGUGGAAGUCUUGUUAUUCAGCUGACCGGUGAUGCAUUACCUUGAACUCACCAUCUACCAACUUACGCCACCUCCUCAUACCGACUGGGAGGAUACUGUACCAAUCAUCAUGGAGCAGACACGGGGUAACAGAGAGAACUGAAGGAAAAAAAAAAACCCAAUCAAAUAAAGGCUACCUUGAAAUCUGAUGAAAAUCUUCUCUCUCAUCAUAUUUGCUGACGUCGACUGUAGCUGUUUAACUGGAGAUGACUGAGACCUCACUGCCAACACAGACCCAUCUGCCUCUGGAUGUGGCACAGGUGUCCUCAGUUAGCCUGUGAAAAAUGAUUGUGCCUGUUAGUGCCUGAAGCUGAAGGAUUUGGUCAGGCUGGCUCACAAUUAUUCUGCACCAGUCUUGCAUUUCUGGGACUUAAAGAUUUUUUGUCACUUGACUCUGGAUCUGGUGUUUGUCUUAACCCCCAAGUCAUGUCACAAGGCAGCAUUGUUGUUGCUUUGGCCCCUGCCAGACAGUACCAGUUAGACUAUGUUGGGGAUUACUUUGAGUUGAUCACAAAGGAAUGCCUUUGUCUCUUGUUUGGUAACCCACUGCUAGGAUUCUUUUGUUUGUUUGCCUCUGGAAAAGGUAAAAAAAAUGUGUUUUAUUUCUGGAUAAAAGUAAAAAUCUUAAAAACAGGACAUGUCAUGUUUCUCCCCCUAGUUUGACACCAGAUUAAAAAAAAAAAAAAAACAUGUGUCAUGAACUUGUGAUUGGAAAAGGACAACCAGAAAUGUAUGAAUUCAUUUUUCCACCAUAUAAUCUAAGUGACUCCUCAUCAUGCAUCGCCCACCUGCAGUAACUUUUAUCAGCACCAUGUGUUGACUUCCCCAGCAACCUCCAAGGCUCGUUCCAAGCAGUCCAGAUGCAUUUCAUUUAGUCAUGAACAGGGCAGCUCGCAGCAACAUCGGGAUGCUUAAUGAUUGUUAUUACAUGCUAAAAGUGGUGGGCUUUUGUUCGGCAGCUUGCCAGGCCUGCUUAGUAUGGUUACCAUGGCAAAACAGUGUUAAUCACUGCUCCAGUCACAGAAAAUUAGCUCCCCAUUUCCUCUUCUGGCUCUUGGGCAAAUGGCCAAUAUUGCUUUGGGGUAUUGGAGUUACAUCCAUAACGGGUUUUGGCACUGGAAGGGCAUAGGGAGAGUCAGGUAAAUGUGAUCAAGGAUGUACUGUUAAGCUUGUCGGUGUCACACAUUAGAAAUGAAAAACACUAGUGUAACAUUUGAUGUUCGUGCUUGUAGAUAGAGCUUAAAUAAAGAUUAAAAAAGCAGGCUUUAGGCGUCUCUCAAUGUACCCUGCCUACUAUCCUGACAUUGUUUGAGUUACAAUUUGCACAUUCUUUAAAUAGUAUAUAAUGUAAUAUAUAAUUGUAUGUACACAUUUUGAAUAAAGUUUGUGAUUAUGAA